GGGUUGUGAGGUUAAGCGACUAAGCGUACACGGUGGAUGCCCUGGCAGUCAGAGGCGAUGAAGGACGUGCUAAUCUGCGAUAAGCGUCGGUAAGGUGAUAUGAACCGUUAUAACCGGCGAUUUCCGAAUGGGGAAACCCAGUGUGAUUCGUCACACUAUCAUUAACUGAAUCCAUAGGUUAAUGAGGCGAACCGGGGGAACUGAAACAUCUAAGUACCCCGAGGAAAAGAAAUCAACCGAGAUUCCCCCAGUAGCGGCGAGCGAACGGGGAGCAGCCCAGAGCCUGAAUCAGUGUGUGUGUUAGUGGAAGCGUCUGGAAAGGCGCGCGAUACAGGGUGACAGCCCCGUACACAAAAAUGCACAUACUGUGAGCUCGAUGAGUAGGGCGGGACACGUGGUAUCCUGUCUGAAUAUGGGGGGACCAUCCUCCAAGGCUAAAUACUCCUGACUGACCGAUAGUGAACCAGUACCGUGAGGGAAAGGCGAAAAGAACCCCGGCGAGGGGAGUGAAAAAGAACCUGAAACCGUGUACGUACAAGCAGUGGGAGCACGCUUAGGCGUGUGACUGCGUACCUUUUGUAUAAUGGGUCAGCGACUUAUAUUCUGUAGCAAGGUUAACCGAAUAGGGGAGCCGAAGGGAAACCGAGUCUUAACUGGGCGUUAAGUUGCAGGGUAUAGACCCGAAACCCGGUGAUCUAGCCAUGGGCAGGUUGAAGGUUGGGUAACACUAACUGGAGGACCGAACCGACUAAUGUUGAAAAAUUAGCGGAUGACUUGUGGCUGGGGGUGAAAGGCCAAUCAAACCGGGAGAUAGCUGGUUCUCCCCGAAAGCUAUUUAGGUAGCGCCUCGUGAAUUCAUCUCCGGGGGUAGAGCACUGUUUCGGCAAGGGGGUCAUCCCGACUUACCAACCCGAUGCAAACUGCGAAUACCGGAGAAUGUUAUCACGGGAGACACACGGCGGGUGCUAACGUCCGUCGUGAAGAGGGAAACAACCCAGACCGCCAGCUAAGGUCCCAAAGUCAUGGUUAAGUGGGAAACGAUGUGGGAAGGCCCAGACAGCCAGGAUGUUGGCUUAGAAGCAGCCAUCAUUUAAAGAAAGCGUAAUAGCUCACUGGUCGAGUCGGCCUGCGCGGAAGAUGUAACGGGGCUAAACCAUGCACCGAAGCUGCGGCAGCGACGCUGAUGCGUUGUUGGGUAGGGGAGCGUUCUGUAAGCCUGUGAAGGUGUGCUGUGAGGCAUGCUGGAGGUAUCAGAAGUGCGAAUGCUGACAUAAGUAACGAUAAAGCGGGUGAAAAGCCCGCUCGCCGGAAGACCAAGGGUUCCUGUCCAACGUUAAUCGGGGCAGGGUGAGUCGACCCCUAAGGCGAGGCCGAAAGGCGUAGUCGAUGGGAAACAGGUUAAUAUUCCUGUACUUGGUGUUACUGCGAAGGGGGGACGGAGAAGGCUAUGUUGGCCGGGCGACGGUUGUCCCGGUUUAAGCGUGUAGGCUGGUUUUCCAGGCAAAUCCGGAAAAUCAAGGCUGAGGCGUGAUGACGAGGCACUACGGUGCUGAAGCAACAAAUGCCCUGCUUCCAGGAAAAGCCUCUAAGCAUCAGGUAACAUCAAAUCGUACCCCAAACCGACACAGGUGGUCAGGUAGAGAAUACCAAGGCGCUUGAGAGAACUCGGGUGAAGGAACUAGGCAAAAUGGUGCCGUAACUUCGGGAGAAGGCACGCUGAUAUGUAGGUGAAGUCCCUCGCGGAUGGAGCUGAAAUCAGUCGAAGAUACCAGCUGGCUGCAACUGUUUAUUAAAAACACAGCACUGUGCAAACACGAAAGUGGACGUAUACGGUGUGACGCCUGCCCGGUGCCGGAAGGUUAAUUGAUGGGGUUAGCGCAAGCGAAGCUCUUGAUCGAAGCCCCGGUAAACGGCGGCCGUAACUAUAACGGUCCUAAGGUAGCGAAAUUCCUUGUCGGGUAAGUUCCGACCUGCACGAAUGGCGUAAUGAUGGCCAGGCUGUCUCCACCCGAGACUCAGUGAAAUUGAACUCGCUGUGAAGAUGCAGUGUACCCGCGGCAAGACGGAAAGACCCCGUGAACCUUUACUAUAGCUUGACACUGAACAUUGAGCCUUGAUGUGUAGGAUAGGUGGGAGGCUUUGAAGUGUGGACGCCAGUCUGCAUGGAGCCGACCUUGAAAUACCACCCUUUAAUGUUUGAUGUUCUAACGUUGACCCGUGAUCCGGGUUGCGGACAGUGUCUGGUGGGUAGUUUGACUGGGGCGGUCUCCUCCUAAAGAGUAACGGAGGAGCACGAAGGUUGGCUAAUCCUGGUCGGACAUCAGGAGGUUAGUGCAAUGGCAUAAGCCAGCUUGACUGCGAGCGUGACGGCGCGAGCAGGUGCGAAAGCAGGUCAUAGUGAUCCGGUGGUUCUGAAUGGAAGGGCCAUCGCUCAACGGAUAAAAGGUACUCCGGGGAUAACAGGCUGAUACCGCCCAAGAGUUCAUAUCGACGGCGGUGUUUGGCACCUCGAUGUCGGCUCAUCACAUCCUGGGGCUGAAGUAGGUCCCAAGGGUAUGGCUGUUCGCCAUUUAAAGUGGUACGCGAGCUGGGUUUAGAACGUCGUGAGACAGUUCGGUCCCUAUCUGCCGUGGGCGCUGGAGAACUGAGGGGGGCUGCUCCUAGUACGAGAGGACCGGAGUGGACGCAUCACUGGUGUUCGGGUUGUCAUGCCAAUGGCACUGCCCGGUAGCUAAAUGCGGAAGAGAUAAGUGCUGAAAGCAUCUAAGCACGAAACUUGCCCCGAGAUGAGUUCUCCCUGACUCCUUGAGAGUCCUGAAGGAACGUUGAAGACGACGACGUUGAUAGGCCGGGUGUGUAAGCGCAGCGAUGCGUUGAGCUAACCGGUACUAAUGAACCGUGAGGCUUAACCUUACAACGCCGAAGGUGUUU
rnacentral:rRNA from 1 species